UGGGAACCGGCGAGGGGGUCACGGGAGGCCACCUGCUCGGGGACGGGCUGGCUCGUUCUGGUCUGGAGCGCGCGAGACCGGAUACCCGCUCUGUGAUUUGGGUUUUUUUCACUAGCUGUUUUUGCAAGGGCGGAAGGAGCCCACCGAGAAGGAACGCGCGUGCGCACGCACACACGCAAAGACAUGGAACCCAUUCGGGCUGCUGCAGUAGGCAGAGGGCCCUGGAUGUGGAUACCAGUGUCGCGGCGGGGUGGCUCUUGCCUUUGCGUUUCGCGAGGAAUAGACAGGCUAUAGUGGGGGAGAUUUAACGGGGGCGGAGGUUAUUGAUAUGAUCAGAGGUGCUCUCUGUAAACUGAAUGGGGAGUGAUUAUCGCUGCCCAGCUAGUCGAGGAGAAGAAACUUCCAAAUCUAAGCGCAUCAUCCUUGAGACAGACAGUGGACCAGGAGUCAGGAGGGCGUGUCAUACCCGAGUGGUGUGGGACUGGUGGCCGGGUGGACAGAGUGCAGGCCUCAUAUCUUUAGUCGCAUGGGGAAGGGUGGUCCUUUGUGGUCAGCGUUUCCCAGAGCAGGAAAUCAUGCUGGAAUUUCUUCGCGAUGACUUGCAUCAGGAGUCAGGAGAUGUUCAACAAGGUCAAACUAAGCAGGGCAUCUUUCAUGCCUUUCCAAGCAGAUCCAUAUGUAUGGAAAGAGAUGAUCAUUUUGCCCUGGAAGUUACUAACCCAUGAACAGCAUUUUAUACUUUCCAGAUGGUCGCAUACUCAUGGUGUAGGUGAAGGCAGAAAUCAGUAAUUGUCCCAGAUUGUGAUCAUCAUCCUCAUUUUAUAGAUGAGGUGUCUUUUUGUGUUCCAGUGCUGGAUAUGGAACCCAGGGACUUGCGCCACCUAGGAAUGCCCUCUGCCACUGAACUUUGUCCCCAGCCCCAAAUGAGGGCUGGAGCUCAGGUGACAGAGGUUUUGCCCAGCAGGUUGGCGACCCUAGGUUGGAUCCCCAGCACCAAAUAAAAAUGUUUGUAAAGUGAGGUAACGGCCACAGAGAGGUUUCAUAACCAGCCCAGAGUUACACAGGGAAUAACUGGGGUAUCACUGAUGCAAAUCCAAGUGUCUGUGGCUUCAGUACCCCAUUCCAGAUCCAGAUAUCUGAAUCAGUCCUCCCUCCUAAACUGUAGACCUCUUGAGCCAACUAACCACCCACCAGUCACAUUUUUGCACUCAGUGAACUCUGGGGCAGUGGACGUGACCUCCAAGAGAAAAGAGUGGUAGGGAAAGUGGAUCCCAAAGCCGGUGCCCUACCGGCUGGAGAGAGAGAGGGCCUAUUAUCAGGAGCUUGAAGGAUGAGAGGAGGAGAGGUUAAGUCUUCCAUAGGAGACAGACAAUUAUGCUCCACGCAGGUGGUGGUCAGCUCGGAUUAUAUUCAAUUUAUUUACUUUUCCUUUCUCCCCCCCUCCCUUCCUUCCUGCCUAUCUUUCAGCAUUUGCAAAACAUGCUCUGUGGUGAGCACACCCGAAGCCUAUAUGUGGGGAGUAGAUGGCUGGAAAAGCUUACUGACUUGGCACUUGAUGAAGAUUCCUUAUAGAUUUCCCAGAUCGACUGACUAAUUGGAAUAGGUCUGAGAGCUGGGCUUCCGGGGCAAGUUUUACUGAGAAAUACAAUACACAAUGAUAAUAGGAAUUCAGAGGCAAACAGUGCCAGAAGAAAUGUUUGUAAUGGCUUCAACACAGCCCUGGAGUCAACCAGACACCAAAGCAUAGUGAUGUGGGGCCCACCGGACUGAGGAUGGAAGUCUAGCUCUGUUCUUCAGCUCUCCCCAUUCUAUGAUGUGGAUAAUCAGAGUACCUAUCUGCUACGCCGACCCCUCCCUGCAGAAACGACAAUGAACAAAGGGUUCCCCUGUGCUUGGAUUGUCUUCCACCAGGGUGGAAAGGAAGAUCGUGGUUUCAUCCCAUGUCCAAUUCUGGAAAUCUGAGGAAAGAGGUUCCAAAUAUUGUGAGAAGGCUUCCCCAGACUUCACCCCUCCAGAGACUGGCAGCUGGGCUCCACAGUGAAUAGUGCUCUGAGGCCAAGGUGCAAGGUGAGUCCCCCAAAGCUCACUUGUCAUUAAGAAGGAAGUUUCCCCAGCAUGUGAUAGACAAGGUGCUCUUGUCUGUGAUCCUGGAGGCACUGUCCUCGAUACUCUGCAGGUUUGGGAACACAUGCGGUAGAAGCAAGGGGUUGCUUGUCCUCCAACAGAGGGUGUUUUGGAAAAUGGCUAAAGCUUCCUGCUCUGGUACAAUUGGCUUGAAACACUAAUCCUGGCAUUUGAAGAGAACAUCCCAUUCUCCACUUGCCUUGUUAUCCCAUUGUGCACAACGUGGAAAUGGCUUGGGUCGUUAUCAGGAACCUGUCAUGUCACCAUGUUCCAAGUUACCAGAGAAGGAACCAAGAGUUCUGUCUCUGAACCUCUCUCUCAUGUAGCAGUGUAUAACGUGUGGUUAGUCAGAAGUUAAUACGAUGAAACCAUGGGUAUCUUAGAGAUGGAGGUGAUCUUAUGGGAUAGUUCACUAUCAUCGGCCCAACCCACAUUUCUGGUAAAUGAUCUGCGCACUUUCAUCCUGCAUUUCCUGCUGGACAGUAGGGCCCAUCCUCUUUCCCUGGCCAGAGAUGGCCUUUCACGGCGUCCCUUUCUUUUCCCCAGCCCCAACUUCUGAUUUCAGAUGUGUCCAAUGGGAGGAAGGGUCCAAAGGGGUCUGGAUACAGUGCCGUCAGUGCUUCUCAGGUAAAAGUCCCGUAGAGGUUCAAAGGUGCUCCCAAGAGCUAGUGUCUUCUCUUACCCAGCAGUGUCCUGGGAUCCAGGCCCUUAAUUGUGUGGGUGAUGAGCUGCAGCGGUGCCUCUGCCUUGGUUACUUUCUGGGUGUCGUGAGGCCUAGAAGGAAGCAGACCAUAAUAUCCCAGGACAAGAUGGGUAUGUCCCGUUCGUAUUUGGGUGGGGGGCCCGUUUUCCCUUGUCACUGAGAUUUCCUCAGCUGUGGCUGAAGGAGGUGCCUUGUCUUUCUAAAGAGCAGCAGGAUUCUCAAUCCAGGGCAGGGUCUGAAGGAAGCUGACUAAACUGAACAUUUUGAUAAGGAAUGUGGGCUUUGGGGAGCUGAAGUGAACGAAGUCUCAGGAUAACCUCUCACUGUUUCUGGACAGUUGUGAAAAUGAAACAUCAGGAGGAGGUCAAAAACCUCCUGUCUGAACUUGGGAAUGUGACAAUGUCUCUCUUCCCAGAGUGGAACCUGCUCAUAGCUCAGGUGUUUGAGACCCUGGAAUACAGAACAAAAGGCAGACCAUGCUUGUCUCUGUGACACAGAUCUUCCCUCAGCUCAGAACCAUCACACCUUGGACAUGAACUUCCAGCUACUUCAGGGACCUCACCCUAUAAGUCACCAAACCCCAAGUAUCCCAGUGCCACGCAGAACCCAGAACGCAAUCCAGGAAAGCACAACUCACAGACCUCAAAUCUUUGGACACACAAUACCUCACACUUGACUGAACCUAGAUUGCUCAGCUCAGUGAAUGAGGCCAGGGACUCAGAAGAGCCCUGAGAUGUCCAGUUCUGAAAUAUAGACUCAACUGCAUGCCAACAACUUCAUAACUCACGACUUAAAAACCCAAAUAGCUCCCAGACCUCCCACCCUGGACAUACAAAUCCACAAAAGCUUGGAUCCCUACCCUGGUAUGCAGGCACAUGCACAUCUGAGAGGACUGGUACUGAAAACACAGAGACCUCAUGCAUGAGGGUAUGUGUAACCAACAUCUCAGAGAAGUCAGAGCCUGGUGCACAAAGCCCAAAGUUUGCAAACCAGGAAAUGGUCAACCCCUCAAAAUUGCAGCAACCUCAGUCCCUGGGAUACAGACUUAUGAUUGGGUCACAGAGGUCACAUUCAGGAUCCAGAAUCAAAAAAGAUCAGACACCCUUGUUUUGGAUAACAUCUAUGAUCUCAUGAGCAUAGGAUGAGGAAUGUCGGGUUGCAUCACAUUUUGCACAUCGCUACUCUGCAGAGCUCAAACCCUAAUUCUGGACAUGCAGAACAAAAACUGCAGAGAAUGUAUAUGGUAGACACAGCACCUAAAACAGAUCACACACCUCACACACCAGCACACACAUUUAUAAAAAACCCUGAGAUCCUUCACUCUGGACACAAGCCCCUCAGGGCUCAACAGAUCUCACAUCCUGCACAGACAUCCUGAAACGACUCAGACAACUGACAACCUAUAAUGGGCCAGGGACCUCCCAGUCUGGACGCGGACCUUGAAACAACUCAGAGUUGUGUUAGAUGGCCUUAGAAACCUACAAGUUCACCCCUUCUAGGAUCCAUGCCAGAUAGGGCCACAGCCAGGUUUCUCCCAGUCUCCUGAGUGAGACACAGGGGUGGAAUGAAAGAGAAAGGAGGGCCAGGCAUGGUGGUGCAUGCCUGUAAUCCCAGCAGUUUGGGAGGCAGAGACAGGAGUUUUGUGAGUCCAAAGCCAGCCUCAGCAAUUUUCAAGACACUAUGCAACUCAGUUCAGCCCUCACUGUAAAUAAAAUACAAAAAUUGGGCUGAGGCUGUGGAUUAGUGGUUGAGUGCCCCUGAGUUGAAUCCCUACUACCGAGAGAGAAAUAGAGAAGAAUGAGAAUGAACCCCUACAUCUGGGCCCUGGUCCAAGCACCUGAGUAUCCUUUUCCAGGGGAUGAAGACCCAGGUUCUGCCCUCAGAGGCUGCUUCUGGGCAGUGAUUCACAUAUACCGAGGCCUGAUGCACCCUGGAGUCCUGUGCCUGCCAGAUUGGGGAUAUGUUCUAGGUUAAGAUGUCUUGUGCCAUCCUGGAAAUGAACCCUCAUUGCCCUCAGGCUUGAGAUGCCCUUAUGCCACAGAAUCACUCUUUGGGUAAGGAGAGGCUGAGUGUGUCCCUGUGAACGAACCACAAUGGUCUUCUAGUGGUCAUAGCAGAGCUGAUGCUUCAGGGAACCCGCCUCCAGCUCAACAAUGGACCUCCUGCCCAGCAUCCUGUUCACCCUGAAUGGUGCCCUUCUGACUCUUGAGCAUGUGGAUCCAGGAGCCCCCUGAUUUCCUCUGCCCUCCUCAACCCUGAACAGAUGGCCCUCUGCAGAUCUUUUGAGCAUGAAUGACUCAAGAUUAAAAGGGGAGAUGGUGAAAGUGUUUGCCGCAGAGUGCCAGGGCUAUAUGACACAGACCGUACAACCCCGCCCCCUCAUCAACCCCUCACUCCCAGUCCUUUCUGUCCUCCUCUGAGUAUGCUUGUCCCCUCCUCCCAAUUCAUAAAUCAGGUAUAAAGGGAAUGGGGUGUGAGGGUCUCUGUACUUACACAUAGCUUGGUGUAAGUUGACAGAGCAGAUAUAUUCCCGCACAUAGACCAUGAGAGCAACCCUGGUGUAGGACUGUUUAUUCAUGGGCAGUCACAGCUGGGAGGCUGUGCUGUUUUGGGACUGAGGCUGAUGUGGCCUUGCUAGUGGGCCUCAUCUUCUUUGGAGACACACACUGGCUCAUAUCUGAUCCCCUGGUGGAUCUCCACUCCCUGAGGACUCAGUCUCAUACCUGCAGUGUUUCUGGAGAUGUUUCAACAAAGUCAGGGCUUAAUUGAUGCCUGGUGAUAAAUUUGUUCCCUUAAGAAUCCACCUAAGCCCUAAUUACCAAGAUGCUCUCAACAUCUCUGCUGCCUAAUGCCUAAAAACACAUCAUUUGAGCAUUUACUUCUUUUUAUGGAUCAGGUUGCCGUCUCCCUGGAGGAAUCAGGACUGGUUCUGGAGGAACCCAAUCCUCUUUGAACUGCACCCAUGGGUAUUCUGGGGAACAUAUUUCUGACUGUGAAUGGUUUUCUUGGUGUGUCUGUAAACUGAUAUUGGGCUUUCAGAUCAAUAUAAUGGGAUCCAAUCAGCAUUUAUCAAUGAGCCAGUGAUCUUACUGACCUGGUAAUACCUUAAGCCUUUUGUACAGGUGAGUCGACUGAGGUUCCAGGGCAGGAUCCUGAACUCUCCCAAUCCACCUCCACUUUGCUAUUUGAAGCCCCACCUUUGGGGCUGUAUGUUUCCAAACUAGGACAAUACCCCUGACACCCAGACCAUGCAUGUUCUCUAACCUGGAAGGUCCUGAAUGGGCAAUCACAUUAACCACAUAGAUUUUAGUGUCAUCCUUAAUUUCUGCCCUGCUGCUCCACCCUGGGACCAUUCACUUAUCUCUUCACCCUUGUUCCUGGCUGCACUAGGGCUAGAUCUGUAGAGCCAAGUAGCUGGGCCCAUAAAUGGAAUGAUGGUGACCUGAGAGGCUGCAGAGGCCUCACCCUGACUGGAUGUGUGGAGGUUCCUGCUUGGUGGGGAGCCCAAUACACAUGACACAGAAUGGUUUAUUUUAAAAUACAGGGCUCCCUUCCCCAGUGGUGUUUCCCAAAGUGUACUGCUUCAUCUGGGCCACUAAAGUGGUACAUUUCAGUGCAGGGAGGUUUCAUCCAGCCUGUUCCUUCUCAGUGUCCCCAGUGUCUGUGAUUCUCCCAGAAGGGGCUGUUUCAACCUAUUUCUUUUAAAAGUUGUUUUUAUUGGUGCAUUAUCAUUAUACAUAAUAGUGGGGUUCCUUUGACCUAGUCAUACGUGCGUGGAAUAUAAGUUGCUCCAUUUCAGUCCCUGGUGCUAAUUUUAGGCUGUUUCUAAUGAGUCUUUUCAUCUCUAUCCCUCACCCCACCCCGGACAGUACAUCCAAUGGGUGUUGCCUUUGUGACCCUGACACUGCUCAGUGGACGAUUCCAUUCCCAUCUCACUUCUCCUAAUAUUGUCUAAUGGGCCACGCCAGUUGCAUAUUCCUGUUCUUGUAGAGUGCCUAGUGUAGAGUCCAGCCUCCUAGCUGGAGCCCCUGCCCCGGGAGUGGUACUUAGGAUGUCACGAAUGGGACAUUCCUUCCCCUCCCCACUGACAGAACUGUGAAUCAACAAGACAGCUGCAGGUCUCUGUGUCUGCAUCGAUCAUUAAAUUCUACCACCUCCCCCUCAGUGGAGGGAGACUGUUGUUCACUAUAUUCUUUGCUUUCUCCCCAGCACCUAGAACAGUGUCAGGCACAGAAUAGGCCCUCCAUUGAUGUUGGUAAGGAAAGCAUCCUUUGACCUGGCAAUUCCAUGGCCAACGGUAUGUCCUGGGAAUGCAUAGUUUGUCCUGAUCACAGUGCCUUUCUCCAUGGCGUGGUAUUAAUGGAGAGUAGCAAGAAGGAGAUGCUCAUACCUACCCAGAAUGGAUUUGCUAUAGAAGAAGUUGUGUGCUUUCAUCUCUGCUACCUCACCAGAAAUCAAGAAGAUGCUGGCACGAUGCUACUAGACCUCUGAGCCAUGAACCAAAGCUUUUGACUGAUUGGAUGAGGCCCAACUACACUAUGGAGGGUCAUCUGCUUUAUUCAAGGUCUACUGAAGUAAAUGUUAGUCUCAUCUAAGAAGUACCUCCAGAGACCUCAAGCCUGGUGUUUGAAAAUAUACCUGUGUACAUGGCCUAGCCAGGUGAAAACAUAAAGCUAACCAUCAUAGGCCAGCUAAUACAAAUCAUCAAGUUCUAUAUUAGAAAGGUAAGUGACUACUUAAGUUUCUGUAUUAAUCUCUCUUCUUGACCCAAGUAAUCAACUCAAGCUCAGUCCAAUUCUGACCUGACCUGAAUGCCUGCCAGGGCUGAGAUAGGCUCAGGAUAGGCAGGUACACAUGCAAGUACAUCUUGGAAACCAAUCAUUUACAAUUGUUCAGGCACACCCAGCAGAACAUGUCAGUCAGACAGGGCAACUGACCAGGGCCUCCAGUGUGGCCCCCUACUGUGUGACCUUUCACUGUCCAGUUCCUGGUCCUUGUGUCUUUGGUUUCAGAGGAACUGCCAGAGGCAGUCAGCUCCAGUUUUGUUAGUCUGUGACACCAGUUCUUCCCCUUUCCAAGUGUGGAUGACAUUGAUGGGUGUUCUGCAUGGGAAGUUCACACGCUGGGUCACCCCUGCUGUCUCUGUCAGGUGUGACUGGAAGCUUGGCAGGCAGGGUGAUUUCAUUUUUUCUCUUAAUCUUUUCUUCUUAUCAGUUGUGCCUAUGGAAAGUAGUGAGUGUGAUUUCAAAGUGCUCAUAGUGGAUAGAAAGGCAGCAUGAGUAGUAUUUGUUCAGGAAAAGGGGAAAUUUUCUGGAACCAUUUAAAGAAACAUAGAUCAUUAAUGUCCUCUCCCACCCUUGUCUCUCCCCAGGUGGCAGGGUUUGAGGUUUCUCCAUUGUUAGGAAAUCAGCAUGUUCCAUUCUGUCAUCUAAACUUCUCAUUUCUUUUGUCUGAAAGGACUAUAUGCAAGAUGAUGAAAACACUGUCAUAGUAAAAUAAUUUUCUAUAAUUUAACUAUAAAGACACAUCAUAUCUAGGAACUGUCAGGAUGAAAUCUUGAAUUUAAAAAAAAUUAAACAGGUUUCCAUAGCCUCCCAUCCCUUUUGUCUCUAUCAUUUAUCCAGUGAGAACACUGGAAAAGAGCAAUCUCUUGCUGGAAACACUGCUUGAAUAGUCAAACUGUCUGAUAUGUUACAUUAGUUUUAUCACACAUCCAGAUGCAAUAUCCACAAAAUGCAAGGUCAUUUUAAAAAUUAUCCCUUUUUAUCGUCUUGCUGAAAAAACAUCCCAACCCUUAGCAGUGCAUUUAGUAUUUACAGGGUUGCCAUUAUAGGAGCUAAGGGAAGUACUGUCUGGAGCAUUGGAAGGGGGCCUGCAGUAGCCAAGCUGAAAAACAGGCUGAAGAGUGUUUUCCCCUCUGCUUUACCUAAAACUUUGCUCCAGCCUAGGGAAUUGAUUAAUUUUUUUCCUCUCCCAUUUCAAAGAGAGAGCAACUCAAAACAUUUAACAUUUUUGGUCUAUCCAAAGCUCACUUUGGGGAACCUUUAGUUACUUUCUGCUCCUGCCUAGAGAGAGAACAAAAAACCAAAGCCAGCACCUAGCUGCACCUAUUUCUCUUCACAUCAUUCAGAAAGGCCAAGGCAGCCAAGGGAUUCUGUGAGUCAACUCUCCUUCAGUCAAAUGUAUUAUUUUUAAAUUCUAUAAUUCGCAUUUACUUCUCAUAAUAGACAACAGUUCAACUGCUGUUUCAUAUUAUGGGUAAAUCCAUAGUCCCCAGACAUCAAAGGGUCAUCACUCAUACCCCCCAUCACCAAACUGUAGUGAAUCAGGGUCUUGCCAGGGAAUCACACAACUGCCACCCCUGUGCCAGGAUUCUCCAAGACUAUCCUUACUUUCAAUGAUUCUCCAGGAGGACUUGCAGAACUCAACAUAUAGUUGUCCUCAUGGUUAAGACUUGUAUAGCCAAAGGAUGCAAAGCAAAAUCAGGGAGGGGCAAAGUCUAGAAGAAACUAGUAAAACUUCCAAGGGUCCUUUCCCAGCAGAGUCACACAAUUUGUCCCUCCAGCAAUGAAUUAUGACAACACGUGUGAAGUGUUGUCUACCAGGGAAACUCAUCAGAACCUCAGUGCCCAAGUUUUUUAUUGGUGGCUGCUCACAAUAGGCACCCUCUGCCCAACAUGUAUGUACCAAGAUUUCAGAUUCCCAGGAGGAAAGCUGGGGUUUAGCAUAAAUCAUAUUGCUUGAACAAAGAGUUUAAGAGCUAAUCACUCUUAUCAGGCACAUAAUGAUGGGAAACUUCCCCGAAUCCAUUUUCCCAGUUGCCAGGCAAAGGUCAAUAUUGUAAGCUGGCCUUUCUCAGGACAGUAGUCUCAGGCUUUCUAUAUUAACUUUUUUUUCUGCACAGAAGAGAACACAAAUAUUCAAAAUACAUAAUAAAAUCAGACAGAACUGAACAAAUCAGCAAUAUAGAGAUUAAAUGAAUGAUACCAUGAACCAAGUGGAUUUAGUUGACAUGUACAGAACAUUCCACAUAACAAUAGCAGAUUAUAUAUUCAAGUGCAUAUGGAAGUUUCACCAAGAUAGACCAUAUCCUAGAACAUAAAAUAAAUCUUACCAAGUAUAAAAUACUUGAAAUCAUAUAAGAAUUUUCUCUAACAAAAAUAGAAAAAAACUACAAAUAAAAAGUUGACAGAAAUAUUUCCAACUGUGUAGAAAUUAAGUCAUAUACUUGUAAAUAAUCCACAAGACAAAGCAAAGUCCAAAAGAAAACUUAAAAAUUAAAAACCUGCCAACCAGGCAAUGAGAAUUACUAUGCUCUGUAAAAAUGUUUUAAUGCAGGUAUAUGUAGAUAUUAACACUAAUUCUGUCUGGUUUCAAGCCAAAUAUAUAAAGAGACUCAUGUAGUAUGUCCUCUUUUAUAUCUGGAUUCUUUCACUUAACAUUACUUCUGUGUACUCCUUUGUUCAUUCCAUCUCAUAGUUGUAUAGUACUCCAGGGUGCAGUAUUCCAGUGUAGCACAAUUUAUCUGUACAUUUCCCAUCAGUGGAUAAUUGGGUAGUUUCCAGGUUUUUUGUUGUUUUUGUCAUUGUUUUGUUUUAUGCUAUUAUAAAUAGGGUUAUUUUCUCAUGAGCAUCUCUGUACCUUUCCUAGAUUUACACAUAUGGGCAAGAUUAUUGACCAGAUAGUUUAUGAUAGCAAAAAAGUAAAUCAAAUACCAUCUAACCAAUGACUUAAUUAACAGUGAUGAUAAUAAAUAAUGUCAUAUCAUCAGAAUCAUUUCAGACUAUGUGAGCUGGAUAAAUUACACAAGUGUUCCCUUGGUGGCUGUUGUGAUGAUGGCUCACAGCUCUAAUGAUGGCAUGUGGGUCACAGUAACCAAUGGGGCAGUGAGCUCUCUGAGCUCAUCUCAGGGCUCUGGUGGGCAGAGAUGAGGAUAAAUAGGAAGGAGCCAGUGAAAAAGGCACCUGCCUGCCACAAAUCACUAUGGAGCCAACUUAUUCUGGCCUCUCUGGCCCAUGGUUCUGGUCACAGCCUCAGCGUGUCCCCCUACCUGACCACACUGAGUACUUCUAGGAAGGCAAUCCCUGGGGGUGAGGUGGCCCACAUCAGUCCUUUCCCACUAAGUCUGACUUUCUCCUCCUUUUCUUGAGCCAAAUCUGCUUUCUUAUGGCUUCAGCUCCCCCUCCACUCAGGAGCAUCCCCCAUAUGCUGAGAGAAAAAUUAUGCCCAUUGAACAGGUUAGGAGACUGAGGCCAUAAAGGGCAGGAACUGGAUCUGCAGCAGCACAGCAGAGCAGUGGGUAGGUGGUGGGUAGGCCAUCCCUUAACCCACAGCCAUACAUCUUCUCAAGCCACCUCAAGCCAUGUGGAGAUUUUCUGCUGCUUGCUCCCCUGAGCGGCCUCCUGGCCUGUACCUCCCCCAGACCACUAGACCUGGGGCACCUACCUGCCCCAAUGAGGGAUUCUAGACUCAUCAUUCAGGCCCUGGAAGAGGACUGGGCAGAGGCUGAUCUAGCAGCUGCCCAGGAUAUAUCUGGGAGUUUGGUGGCCUUCUAAACCCCAGGUUGCUGGAAUUGUCCCCAAUGCCUUUAGGAUCUAGACCUGUGUGCCCUUAGGACUGGCCGAGCUGUACCCCGACCUGCCUAUGGUUCCAGCUUCAGAGCCAAUACAUCUUGUGGGGGAAAAAAGCCUAUAAUGCAAACUUUAGAUGAGAAGAAGAUUAAAAAUAUUAGAGCCUUGGAAAUGAACUCCUGGUAGGAAGAAGAAGAAAAUAAGGAAGAAGAGGGCAUAUUCAGAAAACCCAGAACAGCACUCACUAAAAUCUGGGACUAUCAAGAUGGUGCAGUCCCCACCCCCGGCCAGGCUGCCUCCACCUCUCCAUAUUUAGAGGAGGCAGCUCCAAGGGACACCUCGCCCUAAGGCUCAUGCACUCAGGGCCUGUCACCCCUCUAGGAGUUAAUGUUUAAAAUUCCCUUGUCUUCUCUGAGGCCUUCGCUGUCUUGGAACUGUGACACUCCCUGCUGGCAAAGAUGGGUAUUGCUGCAACAUAGACUCCAUGGCUGAGUUCUACCAGGUAACACCAAGACCUCAAUGUGUAACCACAGUCACCAUGGGGCCACAGGCUUCUGCCAGGCUUCCCUAAAUGAAAAUAAAACUCAUUUUAACUUAACAGGAACCUUAGGCUUGAUCAACUAUGAUUUCAUGGAAAAUCACCCACCAUCCAUUAACAUAAAAAGAGAAUUUUUCUUAGAUUUCAGUGUUUAAACAGAAGAAAAUAACAUGAACAAAACUCACAGGGAAUAUACUUGAUAUAUGAGAAACAUUAGUUACAUAGUAUAUGAAUUCCAGGAUUGAAAAGUUUUCCUCUGUGAAAAGUAAGGUCUAACGGAAGUUUGAUGUACAUCUUUAAUACAUAAAAGAGAGCUCAUGUAUAAUGGCAUAAUUUGGCGUGAACAUAUUUUAUAUACAGUUAUGAAAAAUGUGCUGUGAAUGGAUAAUUAUGAAUGUAAUGCAUUCCACUAUUGUCAUGUAUGUAAGAAAUAAAAAAAAGAA